CAGCCGCCGCGGUAAUACGGAGGGUGCAAGCGUUAAUCGGAAUUACUGGGCGUAAAGCGCACGCAGGCGGUCUGUCAAGUCGGAUGUGAAAUCCCCGGGCUCAACCUGGGAACUGCAUUCGAAACUGGCAGGCUAGAGUCUUGUAGAGGGGGGUAGAAUUCCAGGUGUAGCGGUGAAAUGCGUAGAGAUCUGGAGGAAUACCGGUGGCGAAGGCGGCCCCCUGGACAAAGACUGACGCUCAGGUGCGAAAGCGUGGGGAGCAAACAGGAUUAGAUACCCGAGUAGUCCCUGUCUCUUAUAA
rnacentral:rRNA from 1 species